AGAUUAAGUUAUUAAGGGCGCACGGUGGAUGCCUUGGCACUAGAAGCCGAUGAAGGACGUUACUAACGACGAUAUGCUUUGGGUAGCUGUAAGUAAGCGUUGAUCCAGAGAUUUCCGAAUGGGGGAACCCAGCAUGAGUUAUGUCAUGUUAUCGACAUGUGAAUUCAUAGCAUGUCAGAAGGCAGACCCGGAGAACUGAAACAUCUUAGUACCCGGAGGAAGAGAAAGAAAAAUCGAUUCCCUGAGUAGCGGCGAGCGAAACGGGAAGAGCCCAAACCAACAAGCUUGCUUGUUGGGGUUGUAGGACACUCUAUACGGAGUUACAAAAGAACAUGUUAGACGAAUCAUCUGGAAAGAUGAAUCAAAGAAGGUAAUAAUCCUGUAGUCGAAAACAUAUUCUCUCUUGAGUGGAUCCUGAGUACGACGGAGCACGUGAAAUUCCGUCGGAAUCUGGGAGGACCAUCUCCUAAGGCUAAAUACUCUCUAGUGACCGAUAGUGAACCAGUACCGUGAGGGAAAGGUGAAAAGUACCCCGGAAGGGGAGUGAAAGAGAACUUGAAACCGUGUGCUUACAAGUAGUCAGAGCCCGUUAAUGGGUGAUGGCGUGCCUUUUGUAGAAUGAACCGGCGAGUUACGAUCUGAUGCAAGGUUAAGCAGCAAAUGUGGAGCCGCAGCGAAAGCGAGUCUGAAUAGGGCGUUGAGUAUUUGGUCGUAGACCCGAAACCAGGUGAUCUACCCUUGGUCAGGUUGAAGUUCAGGUAACACUGAAUGGAGGACCGAACCGACUUACGUUGAAAAGUGAGCGGAUGAACUGAGGGUAGCGGAGAAAUUCCAAUCGAACUUGGAGAUAGCUGGUUCUCUCCGAAAUAGCUUUAGGGCUAGCCUCAAGUGAUGAUUAUUGGAGGUAGAGCACUGUUUGGACGAGGGGCCCCUCUCGGGUUACCGAAUUCAGACAAACUCCGAAUGCCAAUUAAUUUAACUUGGGAGUCAGAACAUGGGUGAUAAGGUCCGUGUUCGAAAGGGAAACAGCCCAGAC
rnacentral:rRNA from 1 species